CAGCCAGCCUCAGAACCUCCCCACCAAUCAACGUGGAAAAGGAUAUGGCACGCGGUGAUAUGUGGUCUGCGUCUGGGUAUAUUUUGAAGGAAAUAUUUAUCCAGUGUUGACUACUUACUGGACGCGGCUGAGGAUACAGCAGUGAAUUAAAACCAACCCGGGGACAGGCCUUCUCCGAGCUGGCGGUCUAGCAGGAAAGGCAGAAAACAGCUCCAGAACUGAACCUGACACCAGGAGCUCCAAACUGCAACAAAGAAUCAGCCCCGGACCUUUUGCAGGAGCUGUUGGGAAAGAGAAACAGUCUUCGCAUUAGGAUUGCUGAACUCUGGUUGUUGGCUGCUUUACCCUCUUGAGAAUAGAUUCUGCUAGAGAGCGAAGACAGCACAAGAGAAAGAAAUACAAGAGACAGGAAGAUAGAGUUCUGAUGACAUUGUUAAAGCUCCUGGAUCCAGCCGUACCUGAAACUUGCAUGAACCUUUCAGUUAUAUGAGCUAGUCACCCCUUCUCCUCCCUUGCUUCAUUUUUUCCUAUUUUUAUGUUUGUUUGUUUGACCCUGUUUGAAUGGGGUGUCUACAACUUAACACCCAAAAGAGUUAAAAUUCUUAGUGUUUCAAGGUUUUAGUCAAAUCAUUGACACUAAAAUGCUGAUGAGGAUACCCACAGUUCUACAACCUGGUUCAUUUUAUUCCAGACUAACAUCCCCAUCUGCCCAGCUAUUUCCGGUAGAGCAAUCGCCCAACAUCUUCAAGCUCUAGCUCGAGGAAAUGCUACCUGGAUACUCAGGGACAGUGUCGAAUUCUCUGGUUGUGACAUAAGUCUCUUUCAUGCAAAGUGUUUAGGAAGACACGGAGCAAAUUCUUCCCUCUGAUUCUUUAAGCACAAGAGACCUAGGUGGUGAUGCAGCCGCAUUAAGCCCCGAUCCAGGCAAGCACCUGCAGAGACUCCCAGCUGCCUGGAUGAGGCAGCCUGAUGGAUGGCGGGGCUCCUGGGGCUCUGCAAGACGUUUUGGCAGCUGGAACACACAGGCAGAGAAGAAUGACCUGCCAGAAUGCAUGGUUUCCAGAUCCUUUUGGCCAUAGGUGCAGACUCUAGUCUUUAGACCAGCUUCAUUCCAUCCCCUUGCCUGGCCCAACCAGGAAAGAGGCAGCUUUUCUUUGGGGGGGGGGGGAGCAUAGACUCAUUUUGCUGUCACAGCCAGGUGAUCCUGCAUACCUCUAUCCGCAGCCUUUCUAUGGCGGAUGGUGGUUCACACGGGCUUUGGGGUCAGAAAAACCUGGGUCCCAAUAAUAAUCUUUUUGCCACAUAGGAGCUAUA